rnacentral:rRNA from 1 species
UGCUAUACAUGCAAGUUGAGCGCUGAAGGUUGGUACUUGUACCGACUGGAUGAGCAGCGAACGGGUGAGUAACGCGUGGGGAAUCUGCCUUUGAGCGGGGGACAACAUUUGGAAACGAAUGCUAAUACCGCAUAAAAACUUUAAACACAAGUUUUAAGUUUGAAAGAUGCAAUUGCAUCACUCAAAGAUGAUCCCGCGUUGUAUUAGCUAGUUGGUGAGGUAAAGGCUCACCAAGGCGAUGAUACAUAGCCGACCUGAGAGGGUGAUCGGCCACAUUGGGACUGAGACACGGCCCAAACUCCUACGGGAGGCAGCAGUAGGGAAUCUUCGGCAAUGGACGAAAGUCUGACCGAGCAACGCCGCGUGAGUGAAGAAGGUUUUCGGAUCGUAAAACUCUGUUGGUAGAGAAGAACGUUGGUGAGAGUGGAAAGCUCAUCAAGUGACGGUAACUACCCAGAAAGGGACGGCUAACUACGUGCCAGCAGCCGCGGUAAUACGUAGGUCCCGAGCGUUGUCCGGAUUUAUUGGGCGUAAAGCGAGCGCAGGUGGUUUAUUAAGUCUGGUGUAAAAGGCAGUGGCUCAACCAUUGUAUGCAUUGGAAACUGGUAGACUUGAGUGCAGGAGAGGAGAGUGGAAUUCCAUGUGUAGCGGUGAAAUGCGUAGAUAUAUGGAGGAACACCGGUGGCGAAAGCGGCUCUCUGGCCUGUAACUGACACUGAGGCUCGAAAGCGUGGGGAGCAAACAGAUUAGAUACCCUGGUAGUCCACGCCGUAAACGAUGAGUGCUAGAUGUAGGGAGCUAUAAGUUCUCUGUAUCGCAGCUAACGCAAUAAGCACUCCGC